GUGACUUGGUCUGGCUCUAGGGGAUGGGUGAAUAAGCUAAAGUCCCAAUAAGUCGCCGUGUUCCUUUAAGGACAC